GAUGAACGCUGGCGGCGUGCCUAAUACAUGCCAGUCGAGCGAACGGACGAGAAGCUUGCUUCUCUGAUGUUAGCGGCGGACGGGUGAGUAACACGUGGAUAACCUACCUAUAAGACUGGGAUAACUUCGGGAAACCGGAGCUAAUACCGGAUAAUAUUUUGAACCGCAUGGUUCAAAAGUAAAAGACGGUCUUGCUGUCACUUAUAGAUGGAUCCGCGCUGCAUUAGCUAGUUGGUAAGGUAACGGCUUACCAAGGCAACGAUGCAUAGCCGACCUGAGAGGGUGAUCGGCCACAUUGGAACUGAGACACGGUCCAGACUCCUACGGGGGGCAGCAGUAGGGAAUCUUCCGCAAGGGGCGAGAGCCUGACGGAGCAACGCCGCGUGAGUGAUGAAGGUGUUCGGAUCGUAAAACUCUGUUAUUAGGGAAGAACAUAUGUGUAAGUAACUGUGCACAUCUUGACGGUACCUAAUCAGAAAGCCACGGCUAACUACGUG
rnacentral:rRNA from 1 species